GACGAACCGUGCGAACGUUAUUCGGAAUCAUUGGGCUUAAAGCGCGUGUAGGCGGGCCGGCACGUCCGAGGCUGAAAUCCCCCGGCUCAACCGGGGAACGGGCCCGGAUACGACCGGCCUGGAGGGGGGUAGGGGGAGCCGGAACUCACGGUGGAGCGGUGAAAUGCGUUGAGAUCGUGAGGAACGCCCGUGGCGAAAGCGGGCUCCUGGGCCCCGCCUGACGCUGAGACGCGAAAGCCAGGGGAGCGAACGGG
rnacentral:rRNA from 1 species